CAAAAGAUUUAAAAUCGGAAAUUUUAAUUUGGAAAACGACGAUCGUUCAAGUGCACCGAGAAAGUUCGACGACGGUGAGUUAGAAGAAUUGUUCGACGAAAAUCCGAUUCACGAGAAGAAUUGGCAGAAAGAUUGGAAGUCACGAGACGAGCGGUUUCAUUUAUCCGACUGAAACAAUCGGGUAAUCUUGUACCUGAUUUAAGUAAUAAAAUCUUGAAUUUUCUUUUGGAAAAAGAAGGGGAAAGAAAUUAUUUCUCUCAUCUAAUAAUAUUAUCCUCUUUUAAUCCUUCGAAGAGAAGAUACGAGCGAAAAUAAAUUCAACUAAUGCAGUUUCAUCGUUUAAUCCUUUGCACUCACACGAAUGGUGUUUCUCAGCCAUCACUUGGAUUCGAAUAGCUUUUCCAAGCUCUUUACGUAAAAUCAUACGAAGCGUAGAGUAAUAUAAUGUCGACAGGUAAAUUUUCUUAUCUUAAAUUGGAUCGCGGAUCGGAUCUUCGCCAUUGAUCCGAGUUUGACGGUAAGUGUAGACGAUAGGAAUAUUAUUUUCAAUUGUUUUUCGAACAAAGACGAGUUCGAUUUUUUGUAUAAGAAA